UACGGAGGGUGCAAGCGUUAAUCGGAAUUACUGGGCGUAAAGCGCACGCAGGUGGCUGAGUCAGUCGAUUGUGAAAGCCCUGGGCUUAACCUGGGAAUUGCAGUCGAUACUACUCAGCUAGAGUAUGGGAGAGGGCAGUGGAAUUCCCGGUGUAGCGGUGAAAUGCGUAGAUAUCGGGAGGAACAUCAGUGGCGAAGGCGGGUCUCUGGGCCGAUACUGACGCUGAGGAGCGAAAGCGUGGGGAGCGAACAGG
rnacentral:rRNA from 1 species